rnacentral:rRNA from 1 species
CCUACGGGUGGCAGCAGUGAGGAAUAUUGGUCAAUGGGCGCGAGCCUGAACCAGCCAAGUAGCGUGAAGGAUGACUGCCCUACGGGUUGUAAACUUCUUUUAUAGAGGAAUAAAGCAAGGCACGUGUGCCCUUUUGUAUGUACCUUAUGAAUAAGGAUCGGCUAACUCCGUGCCAGCAGCCGCGGUAAUACGGAGGAUCCGAGCGUUAUCCGGAUUUAUUGGGUUUAAAGGGAGCGUAGGUGGGGUUGUAAGUCAGGUGUGAAAGUUUGCGGCUCAACCGUAAAAUUGCAGUUGAUACUGGCAGCCUUGAGUGCAGUAGAGGUAGGCGGAAUUCGUGGUGUAGCGGUGAAAUGCUUAGAUAUCACGAAGAACUCCGAUUGCGAAGGCAGCCUACUGGACUGCAACUGACAUUGAUGCUCGAAAGUGUGGGUAUCAAACAGGAUUAGAUACCCGUGUAGUC